rnacentral:lncRNA from 1 species
AAAAAAAAAACUAUAACACAUUACAUUAUAAGAGGGAGUAACUUUUUUCUAUUGAAAAAAUCUUAUAUCUUAUACUUAUAUGAUAGUAUAUUGUGAAACUAAAAGAAAUAAAAUAGAAAAAAUUAAAUAUAAAAAUUUAAAAUGAAUUUGAAUAUUCUAUUCAUAUCAUAUUAAUAUGAAUAGAAUAUUCAAAUUCAAUACUAUAAAUUUAUUUAUAUGUCGUCUAGUAUUGAAUAAUAUAGAAUAUCUAUAUGUAUCUCUAUCUAGAGAAAUCUCAUUUUUUAUUAUUUAUUNGUAGGAACUUACUUUUUUCUUAAAAAAGUAAAUAAAAAUACUUGAUAGAAUGAGAAUUUCAAUUCAAUUAUAUAGAUAUAUAGAAAAAAAAAAUCUAUAAUAAUAGAAAUGGAAUAAUAGAAAUGGGAAUUAUUGAUCAAAAUGAAUAGUAUUAAAAUAUUUUAUUUUGGAGACAAGA